CUAUUUCUUAUGAAAAAUAUAAAAUACAGCCCAUGUAUAGAAAACAUUGAAUUUACUAUACUUUGCUUUCUCAUAAUCUAAAAGCUCCAAACAAAUUGCCAUCUCUUAACUGUGUACUAAUCCACUGAACAUGGCUUGUUUCAACAGAUACAUUGUCAAACACAUUUAAGUCUACUUGCAAGUUAAAAUGCUGGUCUCUGAAGAUCUUGCAGUCUUUACUGCAGUUGUUUUGUCUUGUAAUAGUGUGCAGCACUAUAUGUUUUGGUUUUCCAUUCACGUUUAGGCUUGUCUUUAAAUCUUCAUUUCCGUCUGUGCAGCUCUCUAUAGUGAAGUGAAGGUGGCAAUAGACAUAAUAUAAGCCUUUUGUUAAUAUAGUCAGAUUUCCAUUUUGAUAUUCCACACCUUCAAGUAUACCAUCCCUGUUCCACAUGAGUGUUUUAGAUUUAGAAUCUUCGAUAAUCAUCACUAGUAAAAUAAAAAAAUAAAAAUAAAAAAUCAGUCAAAAUUUAAGGUCUAUGGAAAUCAGAGCUUGGAUGAUGUAGAAUAGCUCUCAUUGAGUCACAGCAUUGGGGGAGCAGAAGUCAUGGACCUCAUCUUUCUAAACUUAAACACUCCCAUUGUAUAUAUUUUUCAUUUGUGACUGCAACCUAAUUCUAACAAACUUACAGCCCAAGAGAUGCAGUUUGUAUUGAAUGCUAUGUUGGUCUUCCAAACAUUUUAGUAUAUAAAAGCUUGCCUGGACUCUCAUCCCUACAGACUCAGUAUUUCCUUACAAAUUUCUAGAGGCACCAUGUGCAUAAUAAGAUUUGUC